AAUAAGCUAUUAAGGGCUAAUGGUGGAUGCCUAGAUUGUAAGAGGCGAUGAAGGACGUAUUAGGCUGCGAUAAGCCCCGGGGAGCUGCCAAAGAGCUUUGAUCCGAGGAUUUCCGAAUGGGGCAACCCAGUAUAAUGAGAAUUAUAUUACCCUACGGGGAGCUAACCUGGUGAAGUGAAACAUCUCAGUAGCCAGAGGAAGAGAAAUCAAACGAGAUUCCGUCAGUAGCGGCGAGCGAACGCGGAUUAGGACAAACCCAAUGCUUGCAUUGGGGGUUGUAGGACCAUGAUAUGAGACUAAAGAAGAUAGAUGAAAUACUUGGAAAAGUGUAGCAUAGAAGGUGAAACUCCUGUAAUUUAAAUUUUCAAUAGCUCUAAUGGUAUCCUGAGUAGGUCGGAACACGUGAUAUUUUGACUGAAACUGGGGGGACCACCCUCCAAUCCUAAAUACUACUUACAAAUCGAUAGUGAACAAGUACCGUGAGGGAAAGGUGAAAAGUACUCCAGCGAGGAGAGUGAAAUAGAACCUGAAACCAUUAGCUUACAAUCAUUCAGAGCCCUAUGAUUUAUCAGGGUGAUGGACUGCCUUUUGCAUAAUGAGCCUGCGAGUUGUGGUGUCUGGCAAGGUUAAGUCAAGUACGAAGCCGUAGCGAAAGCGAGUCUUAAUAGGGCGAAUUAGUCAGAUGCUGCAGACCCGAAACGAAGUGAUCUAUCCAUGAGCAGGUUGAAGCUGGUGUAAGAGCCAGUGGAGGACCGAACCCGCAGGCGUUGAAAAGUCUUGGGAUGACUUGUGGAUAGGGGUGAAAGGCCAAUCAAACUUCGUGAUAGCUGGUUCUCUCCGAAAUAUAUUUAGGUAUAGCCUUGUGUUGUAGCAUAUAGGGGUAGAGCACUGAAUGGGCUAGGGCUGCUUACCGCGGUACCAAACCCUAUCAAACUAUGAAUACUAUAUGUGGAAUCACAGGAGUCAGGCGGUGGGUGAUAAAAUCCAUCGUCGAGAGGGGAACAACCCAGACUAACAGCUAAGGUCCCAAAGUCACAUCUAAGUGGAAAACGAUGUGGAGUUACUGUGACAACCAGGAGGUUGGCUUAGAAGCAGCCAUCCUUUAAAGAAAGCGUAACAGCUCACUGGUCUAGUGAUUCUGCGCGGAAAAUAUAACGGGGCUAAGAUGUGCACCGAAGCUUUAGAUUCAAUUUUUAAUUGAGUGGUAGGAGAGCGUUCUAUUCAGCGUUGAAGAUGUACCGGUAAGGAGCGUUGGAGCGGAUAGAAGUGAGCAUGCAGGCAUGAGUAGCGAUAAUUGAGGUGAGAAUCCUCAACGCCGAAAACCCAAGGUUUCCUACGCGAUGCUCGUCAUCGUAGGGUUAGUCGGGUCCUAAGUCGAGUCCGAAAGGGGUAGACGAUGGCAAAUUGAUUAAUAUUUCAAUACCAACAUACAAGCGCGAUGUGGGGACGCAUAGAGUUAGUCGAGCUCACUGAUGGAAUAGUGGGUCGAAGGACGUAGGCUGUAACUUAGGCAAAUCCGGGUUACAUGAGGCCGAGAUCUUACAGGCUCCUGACACUCUUCGGAGGAGAGGGAGAAUCGAUGAUACUGUCGUGCCAAGAAAAGCCACUAAGUAUAUUGUAUGUUGCCCGUACCGUAAACCGACACAGGUGGGUGGGAUGAGUAUUCUAAGGCGCGUGGAAGAACCCUGGUUAAGGAACUCUGCAAACUAGCACCGUAUCUUCGGUAUAAGGUGUGCCUACUUUGGUAUAGGAACUUGCUUCCAAAAGCUAGAGAGGUUGCAACAAAGAGUCCCUCCCGACUGUUUACCAAAAACACAGCACUUUGCUAACACGUAAGUGGAUGUAUAAGGUGUGACGCCUGCCCGGUGCUCGAAGGUUAACUGAUGAUGUCAGCGCAAGCGAAGCAUUUGAUUGAAGCCCGAGUAAACGGCGGCCGUAACUAUAACGGUCCUAAGGUAGCGAAAUUCCUUGUCGGUUAAAUACCGACCUGCAUGAAUGGCGUAACGAGAUGGGAGCUGUCUCAACCAGGGAUCCAGUGAAAUUGUAGUGGAGGUGAAAAUUCCUCCUACCCGCGGAAAGACGGAAAGACCCCGUGCACCUUUACUACAGCUUGACACUGUAGCUUGGAUAUUCAUGUGCAGGAUAGGUGGGAGGCUAUGAUAUAUGGACGCAAGUACAUAUGGAGCCAUCCUUGAGAUACCACCCUUGAAUAUUUGAGUUACUAACUGCGACGAGUCAACCUCGUUCAGGACAAUGUCUGGUGGGUAGUUUGACUGGGGCGGUCGCCUCCUAAAAAGUAACGGAGGCUUACAAAGGUUAGUUCAUGGCGGAUGGAAAUCGCCAGUUGAGUAUAAUGGCAUAAACUAGCUUGACUGUGAGACAUACAAGUCGAACAGAGACGAAAGUCGGUCAUAGUGAUCCGGUGGUUCUGUGUGGAAGGGCCAUCGCUCAAAGGAUAAAAGGUACGCCGGGGAUAACAGGCUGAUCUCCCCCAAGAGCUCACAUCGACGGGGAGGUUUGGCACCUCGAUGUCGGCUCAUCGCAUCCUGGGGCUGAAGUAGGUCCCAAGGGUAUGGCUGUUCGCCAUUUAAAGCGGUACGCGAGCUGGGUUCAGAACGUCGUGAGACAGUUCGGUCCCUAUCUUCCGUGGGCGUAGGAAAGUUGAAGAGAUUUGUCCCUAGUACGAGAGGACCGGGAUGAACGUACCACUGGUGUACCAAUUGUUCUGCCAAGAGCAUCGUUGGGUAGCUACGUACGGAUGUGAUAAGAGCUGAAAGCAUCUAAGCUCGAAGCCAACUCUAAGAUUAACUUUCCCUGAAGUUCCCAGUAAGACUAACUGGUUGAUAGGCUAGAUGUGUAAGCGUUGUAAGACGUUUAGCUGACUAGUACUAAUAGAACGUUUGGCUUAUUUU
rnacentral:rRNA from 1 species